rnacentral:rRNA from 1 species
AUAACCGCUGAAAGCAUCUAAGCGGGAAGCCCACCUCAAGAUUAGAUUUCCCUAAAGAGCCGUUCAAGACUAGGACGUUGAUAGGCAGGGUGUGUAAGCGUUGUAAAGCGUUCAGCUAACCUGUACUAAUUGCUCGAUCGACUUGACCUUAUUACAUCAAAG